rnacentral:rRNA from 1 species
AGAACGAACGCUGGCGGCAGGCUUAACACAUGCAAGUCGAGCGCCCCGCAAGGGGAGCGGCAGACGGGUGAGUAACGCGUGGGAACGUACCCCCCGGUUCGGAAUAACUCAGGGAAACUUGAGCUAAUACCGGAUACGGCUGGAAGGCGAAAGAUUCAUCGCCGGGGGAUCGGCCCGCGUCCGAUUAGCUAGUUGGUGUGGUAACGGCGCACCAAGGCGACGAUCGGUAGCUGGUCUGAGAGGAUGAUCAGCCACAUUGGGACUGAGACACGGCCCAAACUCCUACGGGAGGCAGCAGUGGGGAAUAUUGGACAAUGGGCGCAAGCCUGAUCCAGCCAUGCCGCGUGAGUGAUGAAGGCCUUAGGGUUGUAAAGCUCUUUCACCCACGACGAUAAUGACGGUAGUGGGAGAAGAAGCCCCGGCUAACUUCGCGCCAGCAGCCGC